rnacentral:misc_RNA from 1 species
AGAUAAUCCAUUAAUGUCUCAACAUUGUUAUGCUAUUUUACCUACAAACAGCAUAAUGAAAUGAUCUUGCCUCAAAUUGCAGUCUGAAGCAUACAAAUGUUUCCUCAAAUAUCAUCUGGUUAUCACCUCCAUGCACAAGAAGCAAUCAGAGGUCGGUUCAUCCAGCCAAGAUACAGAGCUCCAUCUCGUUCUUCGAGAGUAUACUUGUUGGAGUAGCUCUCCAGCAAAGUCUUGAUAGUAGCAUUAACGUACGUGCUUAAUGGAUAGGGUGUAAAUGCAGCCAUGGCAAACCGUGAUCUCCACUUACCAAGAGGCUCAUGACGUUCCACUCUCUCAGCACCCUCACAUGCUAUAAUGUUGACAACCUCCCGAGCAAGACAGUGCUGCUCAACGUUGAUCCGCUCCUUGUGCUCCCUCGGUAGGGUAACAUCAAUUGAUUCAAAGACAGCCAAAUAAUAGUUUAAUGUCUCAGUGAAACGGGGAAGGAACGGGGCAGUAUUA